CCGGCACGGGUGAGUAACACGUAUGCAAUCCACCUGUAACAGGGGGAUAACCCGGAGAAAUACCGGACUAAUACCCAUAAUAUGGGCGCUCCGCAUGGAGAGCCCAUUAAAGAGAGCAAUUUUGGUUACAGACGAGCAUGCGCUCCAUUAGCCAGUUGGCGGGGUAACGGCCCACCAAAGCGACGAUGGAUAGGGGUUCUGAGAGGAAGGUCCCCCACAUUGGAACUGAGACACGGUCCAA
rnacentral:rRNA from 1 species